rnacentral:tRNA from 1 species
GUCUCUGUGGCGCAAUCGGUUAGUGCUGUUGGCUGUUAACCGAAAGGUUGGUGGUUCAAGGCCACCCAGGGACG